rnacentral:rRNA from 1 species
GAUCCUAGCUCAGGAUGAACGCUAGCGACAGGCCUAACACAUGCAAGUCGAGGGGCAGCGGAGAGGUAGCAAUACCUUUGCCGGCGACCGGCGCACGGGUGAGUAACACGUAUGCAAUCCACCUAUAACAGGGGGAUAACCCGGAGAAAUCCGGACUAAUACCCCAUAAUAUGGGCUCUCCGCAUGGAGAGCCCAUUAAAGAGAGCAAUUUUGGUUACAGACGAGCAUGCGCUCCA